GUUGUUGCAGUUAAAAAGCUCGUAGUUGAAUUUUGAAUUUUUAAAUAAGUUUGGUUUACAUUUUUAUGUAUAACUACUUGUUUGGAUUCUUCCUACUAGAUACUCGAUACUGUUCUUAAUUGAAUGGUAUAGCAAGAUUUUGGUUUUGUCAAUAUAGUUUAAUAGCUCCUCAAAUAUGUGGAUAUACGUAAAAAUAUAAAAAUAUAUUUAGUGGAUCAAGUUAUUUUAUUAUAUUGGAGUUCUAGUUCAUUUACUUUGAGAAAAUUAGAGUGUUUAAGGCAGCCUCUUGGGGCUCUGAAUACAUUAGCAUGGGAUAAUAAAAUAGGAUUUAAAACAAUAUAUUUGUUGGUUUGAAUGAUUUAAAUAAUGAUUAAUAGGGAUAGUUGGGGGUAUUUAUAUUGGAUGGUUAGCGGUGAAAUGCAUGGAUCCAUUCAAGAUAAACUAAAGCGAAAGCAUUUACCAAAGAUAUUUUCAUUAAUCAAGAACGAAAGUUAAGGGAUCGAAGAUGAUCAGAUACCGUCGUAGUCUUAACCAUAAACUAUGCCGACCAGGGAUAUGAGUUGUUAUGAAUAUAGAAAUAUAUUCAAUUUCUUCUUAUGAACCUUGUGAGAAAUCAUAAGUUUUUGGGUUCUGGGGGGAGUAUGGUCGCAAGGCUGAAACUUAAAGGAAUUGACGGAGGGGCACCACCAGGAGUGGAGCGUGCGGCUUAAUUUGACUCAACACGGGAAAACUUACCAGGUCCAGACAUUAGAAGGAUUGACAGAUUGAUAGCUCUUUCAUGAUUUAAUGGGUGGUGGUGCAUGGCCGUUCUUAGUUGGUGGAG
rnacentral:rRNA from 1 species